rnacentral:rRNA from 1 species
GACAGAGGUGCCGAGCGUUAGGCGGAAUCACUGGGCUUAAAGCGUGUGUAGGCGGAUCCGUAAGUACCUUGUGAAAUCCCACGGCUCAACCGUGGAACUGCUGGGUAUACUGCGGAUCUUGAGCCACCUAGGGGCGAGCGGAACAAGUGGUGGAGCGGUGAAAUGCGUAGAUAUUGGAAGGAACGCCGGUGGCGAAAGCGACACACUGGACCUUGUCUGACGCUGAGGCACGAAAGCCAGGGGAGCAAACGGG